GGCAGGCCUGCUCAGGGCCAGGUCUUCUUUCUGGUAACACCCUGUGAAAAGAAAAUAGAAAUCUUAAUAUUGAAUGGAAUCUUCAGGUCCCUGAGCUUUUUAACAUAUGUACACCCAGAAAAAGCAGAAGAGGACAUGGCUGUGUUUCAAAGACUCUGCCAGCACAGAAAGCAGCUCCCGUAAAUUCAGCUGCGACGCCAUCUGCUGGACGCCCUGCGACGCUGCAUGGCCCCUCCCAGGAAGGAGAGAUUGUGUCGCAGAGGAGAGUCGUUCGUAGACACCAGUAGCUCGAUAGCAAACCAGCACCGUCAGUGAUGGCAUGAAGUGGAGAGUUGCACAUCUCACGGAAGGCGCUCCCA